rnacentral:rRNA from 1 species
GUAGUCCUAGCCCUAAACGAUGAUUGCUUGGUGUGGCGGGUACCCAAUCCCGUCGUGCCGCAGCUAACGCGAUAAGCAAUCCGCCUGGGGAGCACGGCCGCAAGGCUGAAACUCAAAGGAAUUGACGGGGGCCCGCACAAGCGGUGGAGCAUGUGGUUCAAUUCGACGCAACGCGAAGGACCUUACCUGGGCUCGAAAUGCAGUGGACCGGGGUGGAAACAUCCCUUUCCGCAAGGACUGCUGCAUAGGUGCUGCAUGGCUGUCGUCAGCUCGUGUCGUGAGAUGUUGGGUUAAGUCCCGCAACGAGCGCAACCCUUAUUGCCAGUUGCUAACGCGUUAUGGCGAGCACUCUGGCGAAACCGCCCCGGAUAACGGGGAGGAAGGUGGGGAUGACGUCAAGUCCUCAUGGCCUUUAUGUCCAGGGCUACACACGUGCUGCAAUGGCCGGUACAAACCGUCGCAAACCCGCGAGGGGGAGCUAAUCGGAAAAAGCCGGCCCCAGUUCGGAUUGUAGUCUGCAACUCGACUACAUGAAGCUGGAAUCGCUAGUAAUCGCGGAUCAGCACGCCGCGGUGAAUA